AUCCGAUGCGCGCCAGUUACGGCGCGAGCAACUACGUGAUCGCCAUCACCCAGCUCG
rnacentral:tRNA from 1 species